AUGUACCAACUCAUCAGAAGUCCUGUGCCAUCUGGGAAAGCUGAGUGGGAGUUAAAGUUCCCUGUUUCUGGGCCCUGCAUCUCCCAGGUGACUAGCAAUCCCUCCAGCCCUUCAGGCUUCAAGAAUCCAAGCCAUUUCCUCUCUACUGUCCCUUCUGCACUGAGUACCUCAAUGGAGUUCCCUAACCUUUGUGAGCUAAGUUUGUUGGGUAUAGUGGUGGUGGUGGUGGUGGUGGUGGUGGUGGUGGUGGUGGUGGUGGUUGGUGGUGGUGGUGGUGGUGGUGGUGGUAAUGCUGCUUCUGGUGGGUGGGUGGGUGAAUGGUUGGCUUAUUUGCUUUCUUGUGUAAAACAAAGGGUUGUUAAUUUCCCAGGAGGCAAGAAAAAUUCAAUCCACCAAGACUUUAAUUGCUUUCUUGAGGGAGGGUGGAGGGAAAAAUACUUUUAUUCUUUCAACAGAAGAAAAUAGAGUUAAGGUCUCAGUCAGGUUAAUCUGCCAUAUAAAUAUCUCUGGAAUCUUGUUCUGGCUCUCCACCGCCAGGAUCACUGGUCACUAUCCAGUAGCUCUUGCCUACUGGAUACCACCCGACCUCUCUGUUUCUGGUCCCCACUCGAUUCUUCUCCAUACUGAAACUAGAGUGACCUUUCUAAGACAAUAAUCUGAUGAGGUUUAAAAUCUCUUUGCCAGUUAAGAGACUGGCAUGUGAUCCAAUUCAGAUCAAUGAGAUGUGAAAAGAGUCUUGCCAAGAUUUCUGGGAAAGCUCUUCUUUUUCUUCUGUGAGAUUCUCUGCCUUUCUCUGAAUGUGGUUGUGUGCCGUCUUGCCUCCAAAGGAAGGGUAAAGGAAGUCAGAGUCAUUGAGUUAAAUCAACCCUGAAGACUGUCUUAUCUCUAGACUUCCUGUUAGAGUUUUUUCUUUUAUAUAUAUAUAUUUCAGAUGAUCAAAAAUAUGGAACAGACAUUGGUUGCAAAAUAAUGUAAACACACAUAAUACUGAAAUGUGCACUUAAAAGAUUAAAAUGUUAAAUUUUAUGUUGAGUGUAUUUUACUUCAAUGAAAAAAGUUACAACAAUAGAAAUAUGGAACAAAUAGUAUAAUGGCUACUUGUGUAUCUAGCAUCCAAAUUGAAAAUUUCCCUAUUAAUUAGGCUAACUUGAGUUGGAUUUUUGGUGACUUGGACCAAGCAAAUACAUGCUAGGUAAUGCAGAAUUUGGUGGCAAUAAGUAUGACUGUUGCAGUGAACAGAUCUUAAACUGAUGGAAUUGGCUGAUCUGAAGAGAUGGGCUUGAUCAUGGGCUGGAAAGUCUGCAAUCCUUUUUGGGUGGUUGUGAUAUACUUGGUUUAUCUGCCUCUUGAAAUUUAAUGGGAAAUUUAAAAAUCUAGGGAUCUUGUUCAAAUGAGGAUUCCAAUUCAGUAGGUCUAGGGUGGGGGACCAAGAGUCUGCAGUUUUAACAAACUCCCAGAUGAUGCCAGUGUUGCUGAUCCAUGAACCACACUUUGAAUAGCAAGGAGUUAAACCAAUAUACCCUUGAGGAGGGACCAUAUACCAUGCAGGCUGUUGCAUCAGGAGGAUGGUGGAGAAAAUUCAGGAUGUUGGACUAUGUUAGCAACUUACAGCCCUGGGUAGGGUUUUAUGAGGGACAUUCUUUUUUUUUUUUUUUUUUUUUUUUUAAGGGUUUUUUAAUUUAUUCAUGAGAGACACAGGGACAGAGGCAAAGACAAAGGCAGAGGGAGAAGCAGGCUCAUCACAGGGACCCCGAUGCGGGACUUGAUCCCUGCACCCAAGAUCAUGCCCGGAGCCAAAGGCAGACGCUGAACUGCUGGGCCACCCAGGCGUCCCAUAUGAAAGACAUUCUUAGCCUCACACUGGCCUGUGUGAAAACAGAGAAAGAAGAAAAUACAUUUCUGUUAAGAAAGGUUCUCACUCUGUGAACUGCAAUAAAGAAAUAGCUGAAAUUUUAAUAAUGUGAUUG
ensembl:lncRNA